rnacentral:lncRNA from 1 species
GUGUAAUUUGUGCGAUCAAGUUUGAUUGGUGUGGUAAAGGUAAAGGAUGUUCCAGACGAGAUAUGAGUUGAAGAAUUAAAGCUUGAAGAAGACAUCACUUGGCUCUGAUACCAAGUUGAAGAUAAUAAAGUGUUUGGUUGACAGAAAACUUUCUUAGACUACAAAGAGAAAAUAUUUCAGACUGAAUUCAUUAUUAUUAAUCUAGAAAUGAAAUGAUGAAUUACAAAACUUUAUAUACACAAGUCUGGAAGAUUCUACAGCUCCAGAUGCAUGUGAAUCAGCUUAACAACCUAUAACAAACUAUUAGUGGGAAAACAUUAACAAAUUCUUAAAACUGUUUUGGCAUAAGUAACUGAAAGCUGACGUGGCUGCUGACUCAGCUGCUGACAUGGACAUAAGGAUUUAUUCUUAACAUGCCCCCUUAAGCUCAAGGAAAAAAAAAAAACUAACAAAAGCAGUUGAAAAACAAUACCAAACUCACCUUUUAACUUCUUCAACCAUUCUCAUUCAUCUUAUUAUUUCUCAUAUAAUCUAAUCAUCUAUAUAUUAAUGUGUACAGAGUGUGGACAUAAAGGCCAAGUUUAUUUAGGUGUGGACGUAAAGGCCAAGUUUAUUUAGUGGAAGUGGAAAUCUCUAAGAUUUUAUCGUCAGUAGUAGUCUUCAUAUUUCCGUCCUUGUGUUCAUCAUCAGCAGCAAGGCUAUCUUUUCUUUUGCCCCAAAGUACACAAUAAAGCC